AUGAAAUCCCUUGGGGAAUCUGGCUUCAUACCUUGUCUACACAGAGUCCUUGUACAAGUUUCUUGAUCUCUGCCGGCUGUGAGUCAAUUACUGUUUCCUGAUUGCAAUUCCCCUACCCUGAUAAAUCAGCUCUGUCUAAGCAGUGGACAAGGUGAACCCAUUGGAUGGCAACAAAUCCUUAAUAGCAAACCAGAAGCUGAAAGAAAGGAACUAACUUCUUUCUGGGUCGAAGACAUCUGGAAAACAUAGGAUCUCCUUCAGUGUCUUUAGCACCAGAUCCUGUGAUUCAAACUACACACAACCAAUAAGAAAAAGAAUUCAACAUGCGUGCUACCGGUUCACCUCCUUUCUUGUGUUUAUUACACAUCAAUAAAUCAAGUGUUUACUGAGAUCCUACUCUCAAGUUCCUAGUCAGAAAAGGAAUCACCUGCCGUAGGUAACAGCCUGUGUUCUUUCCUACAGCAUUGAAAAGAGCCUCAGACUAAAAAAUGAAAGGAAAUUGUGUAUUUCUUUAUUGUAAAGGGCAGAAACGUGCAAUUACAGAUUGUGAAACUGCUGC
rnacentral:lncRNA from 1 species